GAGCUUGACUCUAGUCCGACUUUGAGAAAUGACUUAGGAGGUGUAGCAUAAGUGGGAGCUUCGGCGAUCUUGAAAUACCACUACUCUUAAUGUCAUUUUUCUUAUUCCGUUAGACUGAGACUUGCGUCACAGCGAGUUUUGGAUCUAAGGUCGUCUUCUAUGAUGGUUGAUCUGUGCGGAAGACAUAGUCAGGUGGGGAGU
rnacentral:rRNA from 1 species